CAAGUGAAUCUUGAUUUUAACCACAUGACAAGCUCCUAAGGGUCUACACAGCUUGACCACACUCAAUGCUCAUAAGCAGUAAAUAGUAAAUGUGUGGCUCAAAGUCUAGCAAGCAUGUAUAUAUGGCUGUGGUAGGAAUUUAAACUCUCAUCAUACAGGAACUCAUCAUGCAAUAUUUAAAGAUUUUCAAAGAUAAAAUUCUCUAAAAUUCUAGCAUCUCUAGGAACAGAUAAACAGCAGCUCAACCUUCCCAUAUCAUAUCCGUUAACAACUUAGACUUCAGAUCAAGUUUUCUUCCCACAAGUUUAGUUUUAGAGAAAGUUUUAAAUUAUAACAGUUAUAUCUAAACUUGAGAGAGAAUUUCAAAUUUUAAAAUUUAGGCAGAGCAACUAUUCAUCAUAUCCAUGCUAGAGUUUUAUUAUUAAGAUUCAGAUUAGCAUAGCCACUUUAUUUAUUUAUUAAACACACUAUGCAAAAGAUAUAUCUAUAUAAGCACAAAAACUUUAUUUGGUUUUCCAUAGUUAUGUAUAUUUAUAUUUUAAUAUAGUAUAAGUAUAAAGAUAGAUAGUAAUACUUAGCGGGAUAAAUGGGUGUGCUCUCCCCCAAGCUGAAUUUUGACGUAAUUUCUCUUGAUGUAGCUAGCAGGUGGCAGAGGUGUAUUUGAAAGUCAGCAGCAUCUUGACAGCGAUUAGAAUGUCCUCCGUCUGCUAGUCUUCUCGAUUCUUAAAUUCUGUGGAGCUCAAAUAUACAACAAAGCUUUGUGGAACUGAUUAAGUGUUAGCAUAAAUGUCUAGCCUUCAUCGUGUUGAGACUCCUUAAUAAAUAUUACUCCCUAUUUUUUUAUAUUUUCAUUUCAUAAAGCAGAAAAGAAAUAUUUAUUUUAUUUUUAUGCCACCAUAGUGAAUGUACUUAGGGGUUUCAUGCCACUCAUAUACUCACAUGGGGCUUACUGUUUUUUAACAUUUUUAUUUUCUUUUUAGGAUAGUCUGAACAUGAUUAACUAAGCAAACUAUUUUAAACAAUUGAAAGGGAAAAGGAUAACUACCAAGUUUACCUCUUGCCAAGGCGUUCGGUGUUUUUAAGUCCUUCGAAUGGGACUCUCCGUUUUCUCAGUUGUCCUGGGAUUCGUUGGGUGGCGUACUCGGUGCUUCCGGCAGCGCCUCUUCUUCAUGUAUAGUUAUCUUUUCUUUCCACACCUGACUCGGUGCUAUGGUCUCCUCUGGAUAAUUCUGUUUAAACUGUAUGUCUUCUGACCUUACAACUUCUCCUUCGUAGUCUGCCCAUCUGUCCUUGAUGAUUUCUGUAACAGAACCGUCCAAUUUAUAAGAAUUCAAGUGAAUUAGCGACCACGGAGGCAGUCAAGCCAAUGGACUUGAACCCAUAUAAACCCGGUAGUCCGAUGAAAUCUCAAAAGACCUCGAUUCAACCAACAUACAACCAAGAUCGUACAUGAUCAAGCAUCACCAUCACAUAUUACAACAUUCAUCACAGAACAUAGUUUUACAUCACAUCAGAGUUUAAAGAGGUUAUUACAAACCAUAGCGGUAGCGGAAACAAAGUAGUUUUGAAGCAACACCAACUCAGUUUAUAAUACAUGCCAGUGCCAUGGUCAAGUCCCAGCAAAAGCACAACUGAAGAUAAAGGAGGUGAUCAUGCCCGUGAUCUAUUCAUCAUCCGCAGCUGGGUGAUGACAGUUAGCGCAAUAGCCGUGAUAGACGACAUCAUCUGCAACAGGGGUAAAUAAAACCCUGAGUACGAGAAUGUACUCAGCUAGACUUACCCGUCAUAAACCAGAAAUAAAGUGACACCAAGGAGUAUGCAAGGCUGAUCUUUGUGGGCUGGUUUGACUCACCUUUUGCAUAGAAGCCUUUGUUAUAAGUAAUUCAUUUAUCAGAUUUCAGCAGCAAGAUCAUUACUUAGCAACUAUCCACUAGAUUAGCACCUGCUCUAAGCAUACACUUGAGUCUUUAAGCAUUACAAUAAUAACCAUAUCCGGAUUAUCACAUAGCCAUCAACAUUCUCAUCAUAACCAUUAAGUUUAUUUAGUGAGUUCUACAUUGCCGCUGCCCAAGUCAAGUUCUCACUAUCCGGG
rnacentral:lncRNA from 1 species